CUUUGGUUUCGAAGGAACUCAUGCACAAUAACCUGCUAACUCCCAAAGUGAAAAUACGGACUUGCUCCUUGUUCAUUUCCAGGUCCACUGGACUGGAGCCAUAAAUGAAGAGUUUUGGCUCAUUAGGAAGGACAGAUUAUCGGGCAUGGUGUGGAGCCACCCAUGCUUUAUGAGGCUGGGAAUGAGUUACACAAAGUCCCGCAGAGUGAGAAAGGAAGAUGUUUGGAAAUAUUUUUCUGCUUAAAGCUCUGAGAUUGCAAGGGUUUUCUUAGCCCUGUGGAAUUUCUCUAAGUGCCUGGGGAUUUCUAGGUUUCUAAGAAGCUUGAGGUGGUUGUUAACCUAAUACACAGUUGAAGGGAGCCAAGACAGCCUUCCUAUGCCAGCUGUGUGGUAGGACGUCUUCUUAAAAGGCUCUUUAAAAUCAGUGAGAGAGAUUCCAUGGUUCACCACCCAGAACAAGGUGCUUUCUUCCAUCUCAUAUGCCAAAAAAGCACUGAAAAUCCAGAGCACCAUUACUGAUUGGAAGACCAAAGGCUUGAUCUAGAAAUCACACACCAGCAUCUGCCCAUCCCAUGAUGACUUCUCCCCUGCAAAGCCAACUGCCUUCUCUCCUUACCAGCCUCCCCACCAAUGAAGUGGGCCGGGGUAGGGGACCAUUGUGUUGCUGUGACCCGUGCCUCCACCUAUGCCUAACCUCUGCCACAGCUGAAUGAACAGGACUAGCACUAGAUUCAAGAGCAGCAUGAUCUCAGGAAAUGAUAGGAUGGAUUACAAACCCCCAUCGGCACUAAGGAUUCCUAGCCAAUCAUCCGGGACUAUUGCUUCAGCAAAGAGAGAGUCUUUGAGCAAAGGCCUGCCUUCACCAUUCUCCCGAGCAGCAGCACAUCUCUUCAGAAAUCUCAAUCUAAUGGGGGAAAGAAGGCUUCUCCCACGCCUGACGUCUUCAAAGAUGGCAACUAGGAAUCCAGAUUAUAUGCAGAACUUCUCUUCCUCCAGGAUGGGUACAGUGGAGCAAAGUUAUAGAUGGACCAGAAAGGCAGCUCAGGAUGGAGAAUAAAGUUUCAGGAAAUUCAGCAAAGUGAGCCCACUGGGAAUUUUUUAAAAUUCUAGGCCAAUGAUUGGAUAGGAAUACAGUCAGUGUUCCCAGUGUGAAGACUUUCCCUUCUGGCUAUUGAUCUUGCAGCAAUCAGACAGCUGUUUGCAGGGGAAUGAUCACUCUUUUCCUUUACAUAAUAUUCAUAAAUGUGCAGGCAAAUUAAAUGUGUCAUAGAUGAGAUUACCAACCAGAGUACCACCCGGCUGUCUCAUGUGAGCUUGGUUUAUGGAUCCAGUGUUCUCCAGCGAGCAUCACAAAUCCACAUAAUGUUCCCAAGUGCUAAAUUUGGAGCUCUGAUUUAGCUGACAGAUGUUUAAAAUCACAUUUAGUUGGACAACUCCCUGAGGAGGACACAGCUGCAGAUGUGAAAGAGAGCAAGUUAUUCCAGUUAAGGUCGGCGGGAACUCAGCCUGAAAACCUUCCGUCUCGAUCCGCCUUCUUCAGACAGGAUGAUAUGGGUGAAGGAACAUUUUCAUGCUGAUUCCACCCACCUUUGGCCAAACCUCAUCCCUUUGUUGAAUGGUUGCCAAGAUAAAUGCAGAAGUUGCAUCUUAGGCAAAGUGUGGGCUGCUCCAGUCAGCUGAAAUUGAGUAAAAGGGUGCUGCUAGCCCUUUAAAAACAGGCACAAAGCCACAUUUUGGAGCCUGCUUUGCCCCUGUGGUGGCAUCUGAGGCCUGCAAAUGAGUAUGAUUCUGGAAUUUUGCACUUCAGGAUCAGUUAUUCAGAUGGAUAGUUGAAGUCCAUGUGCUGAAUGAGGACAGAGAGGAAAAUGGUGCCAUUUACCCUCCCCCCACCCCAACAUCCCAAACAGCUCUCCUUCAUUUUUUAAAAACAACAAAAUUAAAAUUAUCCUGGAAUCUUCUUUGCAAAAAUCACAUAUUUUAGACUUGUUUCAAGACUCAGACUGAAACGAAUUUGUUUAAAAAAAAUUGUCUGUAUUUGAUGUGGGAGACUAGUGACCUUUGGUAUUUUGUGUAAAAAAAAUAAAAUGUUUGAUGUCUAAAAUUUCCCUGCUGAG
rnacentral:lncRNA from 1 species